GUUUAUAAAAACGAACCCGACUGCUCACUCGCAAGAGAGAGCGUUGAUCUGGGCGCUCGUGUCUCUCUGUCUGUCCGUCUGUUGCUGUCUCCUCUCUUCGAGAGUGUAGCAGCAGCAGCAGCAGCAGCAGUCAUCACAACGCCUCGUCUCCUCAGAAGAAAAGGAAGAAAGAUGAUGUCUUUCGUCGAGUAGGUGGGGGGCGUUAUUACUGGUUGAAUACUACUCGUUCGACUAGUACUUAUGAUUCUGCUGCGAGUAGUCCAGCAUCUCCUCUCCUCGAGCAGCAGAGCAACGACUACUACACGAUCAUGCUGGUCGACGAUGAUUCCGUCGAUGACGCCCCCCGCGCUCUUCUUCGUCG
rnacentral:misc_RNA from 1 species